UGAAGAGGCCUGACAGCUGAGGCUUGUCUACUGACAACACUCCCAGCAGCUGAGGGGGAUAAGACCUCCAGGCUCAAGGGUGAGCUCUACGGCCCAACACAGCGUCCACCACACUGACGCAAUAUGAUGCCGACAAAAUAAACAGGCUUUUCGAUCUUCUGUAACUUGAAGGAACUGUCACAGCCACCUCAACCUUCAGCAACCACCACUGUUCAAGGCAACAUCCUUCAGCAGCAGAAAGAUUGACUCGCUGUAGGCUCAGACAUGGGGCCUCACUAUGUUUCACAGGCUGGUCUAAAACUCCUGAGCUCCAGGGAUCUGCCUGCCUCCGCUUCCCAAAGUGGUGGGAUUGUAGGCAUGAGCCAUCAUGCCUGGCCUGCUGUGAGUUUUAAAUAAAAAUGUAAAUGCUCUUCUCCAUUUUCUUACCUCUCCUUUUAAAGUGUGUGUGUGUGUGUUUUUUUUUUAAUGUCAUAUAAGUAAUACGUAUUCGUGGUAGAAAUAUUUUUUUAAAAAAUAGAAGCAAAAAAG
rnacentral:lncRNA from 1 species